rnacentral:rRNA from 1 species
GCUACGGGUGGCAGCAGUGAGGAAUAUUGGUCAAUGGGCGAGAGCCUGAACCAGCCAAGUCGCGUGAAGGAUGACGGCCCUACGGGUUGUAAACUUCUUUUGUCAGGGAGCAAUUGAGUCCACGUGUGGUCUUAGCGAGAGUACCUGAAGAAAAAGCAUCGGCUAACUCCGUGCCAGCAGCCGCGGUAAUACGGAGGAUGCGAGCGUUAUCCGGAUUUAUUGGGUUUAAAGGGUGCGUAGGCGGAAUAUCAAGUCAGCGGUAAAAAUUCGGGGCUCAACCCCGUCCUGCCGUCGGAACUGGGGGCCUUGAGUGGGCGAGAAGUAUGAGGAAUGCGUGGUGUAGCGGUGAAAUGCAUAGAUAUCACGCAGAACCCCGAUUGCGAAGGCAGCAUACCGGCGCCCUACUGACGCUGAGGCACGAAAGUGCGGGUAUCGAACAGGAUUAGAUACCCCAGUAGUC